rnacentral:rRNA from 1 species
AGUGGCGCACGGGUGCGUAACACGUAUGCAACCUACCUUUAACUGGUACAUAACAUUUCGAAAGGGGUGCUAAUAUACCAUGUGAUUAUUGAGAGGCAUCUUUUGAUAAUUAAAGAUUAAUUGGUUAAAGCUGGGCAUGCGUCCCAUUAGCUAGUUGGAGAGGUAACGGCUCCCCAAGGCGGCGAUGGGUAGGGGUUCUGAGAGGAUGAUCCCCCACACUGGUACUGAGACACGGACCAGACUCCUACGGGAGGCAGCAGUAAGGAAUAUUGGUCAAUGGGCGGAAGCCUGAACCAGCCAUGCCGCGUGCAGGAAGACGGCCCUAUGGGUUGUAAACUGCUUUUGUCAGGGGAUAAACCUAUCUACGAGUAGAUAGCUGAAGGUACCUGAAGAAUAAGGAUCGGCUAACUCCGUGCCAGCAGCCGCGGUAAUACGGAGGAUCCGAGCGUUAUCCGGAUUUAUUGGGUUUAAAGGGUGCGCAGGCGGACUGGUAAGUCAGGGGUGAAAAUCUACGGCUCAACUGUAGACGUGCCUUUGAUACUGCCGGACUAGAGUUAAGAUGGAGUGGGCGGAAUGUGUUGUGUAGCGGUGAAAUGCUUAGAUAUAACACAGAACACCGAUCGCGAAGGCAGCUCACUAAACUUUGACUGACGCUCAUGCACGAAAGCGUGGGGAUCAAACAGGAUUAGAUACCCUGGUAGUCCACGCU